rnacentral:rRNA from 1 species
GAUGAACGCUGGCGGCGUGCCUAAUACAUGCAAGUUGUGCGGUAACAGAGAGAGCUUGCUCUCUGCUGACGAGCGGCGGACGGCAGAGUAACGCGUAGGAACAUACCCCAAACUGAGGGAUAACUGCUCGAAAGAGUAGCUAAUACCGCAUGUGGUCUUCGGAUUAAAAGCUUCGGCGGUUUGGGAGUGGCCUGCGUCCGAUUAGCUAGUUGGUGAGGUAAUUGCUCACCAAGGCGACGAUCGGUAGCUGGUCUGAGAGGAUGAUCAGCCUGACUGGAACUGAGAACGGUCCAGACUCCUACGGGAGGCAGCAGUAGGGAAUUUUCCACAAUGGGCGAAAGCCUGAUGGAGCAACGCCGCGUGCAGGAUGAAUGCCUUCGGGUUGUAAGCUGCUUUCUGUGUGAAGAAUAAUGACGGUAACACAGGAAU